CAAUCCUAAUUUCACGAUCAGUUUCCUAUUUUCUUUUCCUUGAUCUCUCCGCUUCUCUCUCUAGGUGCAAAGAUAGACAGUAUGCAGCAAAGAAUCUUCUCAUGUAGCAAUACCAUCCAGCUGAUAUAGUUGAGUCGGCGUGAACAGAGGAAGAAAGGGCGGUGAGGUCACCCGUAUGUUGACUAUAUAGGUUAACGUAUCAUUACUAAUCUUGUUGAGAAGUCUUUUGAGACAGGUUUACAGUGAAAGAGAAUGUCUGAGUUAGGUCAACGGCUUGCUUGCCAAAGAGAGAAGGGGGUUAGGCUCAGGGACUUUGGAUUAUGGAAUAAACUUUGUCUGAAGUUGGUAUGGAUAUUAGUUGCUAAAUCGUAUUCUCUAUGGGCUGCUUGGAACGCUCUACAAGCUGCUGGUGGGAUCAUUGGACCACUCUAGGUCCUCUAAUUCAUGUUUUAGACAGAAUUGACCAAGAGCCUUGAGUGUUCCAACUUCCAAUCCAUGUUUUGGUCAGUGACGCUUACACGACACGGGAUGGUUACUGCGAGGGGCAAGAUUGGAUGCCUCGUAUCAGCUACAAGUCUUCCUCACAAUCUCGGCUGCUCAACUAGACAGGGAUCAUAUGCUCCUACGCUGCGGUUUUAGUGUAGAUAUAUGGGCUCGGGUUCUGCACAGGUUGGGAUCUCUUUCCACCACUCUUUCUACACUUGGACAUCCCUCACGGAAUGGCUUGCAAUCAGUACAACGACACAUCAUCUCUUCCUCAAGCGCAUAGCACCUCAGGCCACCAUAUAUCACAUUUGGUGGGAGAGGAACAUGUGACUACAUGACAACAGUUCAUCCACCUCAGCUCAGACUUUCAAAAACAUUGACCGUGGCAUUCGUGUUAUAUCUGUUUACGGUCUGGAGUUCAAACCCAAAAAAUAUCAAAUUAUGCAGAUUAUGAAGAAAUAAGUUAUAGGAGAUCUUCAGUUUGGUGCAUGACGUACCAUCGAACAUGAAUCUCAUAGGACGGCUCAGAAUAGUGCAGUCAGACGGGUAUUCUCACAUUGUGGUAGAAUUGUCGGCUGUAAAAUCGUCUUUGUAAUAUUCUCACCAUUGUAAUAGCAUAAUUAAUCGAUAAUAAUCGACUCAGACGUUCAAAAGAAACCUUGACAUAUUUUGGUUGGAUUGAUGAUAAAAUAUGUUUUUUUGUGUGCACAGAUAAAAUAUGGUUAUAUAGGCACAAUAAAACGAAAUUAAACCAAAAAUUAGGCCUUUGAUAAAAAAAAGACCCAUAAAUUGGGCCAAAGCUCUUUUCAGUAUCUUUGGGCCAAGGCUCGCUAGUCGAUGGUUUUAGGGCUGAUCAUAAAGGUAAAUGUUCUAAAGUCUUUCUACAAUUUUAUGUUCAGAUUAUUUGACAUUUAUCGUGAAAAAAACAAUUUAUAUAAAUGUCAUAUAACUUCUUCAACAAAUAAAAAUUGAGAGAUUAUGACUAAAAACGUGUUAUACCAUUUCAUGAACGUGUAUCACAUUACCACAUGUCCUCAAGUCAUUUUUUUAAUGUUUCUUCGGUUUUUUUUAAUUCGUCUUAGAAAAAGUAUGCAUCCCUCUUUUUCAAAAAAAAAAAAAGUAUGCAUCCCAACAGACCAGCACGUAGUCUUUUGUGCUUAUAAAUAGAAAUAAUCAGUGAUAAAAAGUAACUGAUACACCGUGCACGAGUCACUAUACUAACUUCCAGGCGCAAUACCUAAUGCAUGUACUGGCGUACAUAUCAAAAAUUAUGAACCGUUUUUGUAAACUACUAGCAUAUAUGAACUUCUUGCAUUAGAAAUGAACUUUUUCAUUCCAUUUUUUUCAUUUGAGUACAAAUAUAUAUAUAUAUAUAUAUAUAUAUAUAUACCGUAUGAAUAUGAGAAACUGCUUUCGUAUUUUCACGCGAUAUCUGAUUCAGUCAGUAAAGUUUCAAAAUAAUCGUAUAUGUUUACAUGUUAAGAUAAGUUAUCUAGUAUUAAAAACAUCACGAUAUAUUACCGUAAUUUUCGAGUCAAUACGUGUUUUGAUACACUACGAAGAUCACGCAUUAAUGAUCACAUGCAAGAAGAUUUAAAUAAAGUGGCACGACCAUAGCAUACACCAUAGAUAAUAUUUAAAAUCAGAUAAUCCAAACUGAAAGACCUCGAAAACAUCAAGGUCUUCGUUUGUUUGUAUCAUAUUUUAAACAAUUUAAAUUCAAUAGCAACUUCUCAACGUUUUUAUAUUGUAUAUACAUGUUCCAAGCAGAACUAUAUUUAUUUGCGUAUUAAACUCAGACAUACAUAUAUAAAAGCAAUCAAACAAAAACUUAAAAAAGUUAAUAUAACUGAAUGUAUUAUCUUCAUUAAGUGUAACUGAAUGUACAUGUGUAACUAUAUAUACAAGAGUAAUUAGUCUAAGCUAACUAAUUAAGAUUACUAUACACACUCUAUUAAAAGUUGCUCUCAUGUUGUCCAAAAAAAAAGUUGCUCUCUUUAGUAAAUUAAGGAAACGAAAUGUGUCAUUAAUCAUAAUAUUAGAGAGGAUCUCAUGAUAAUACACAGGCUACUAUACAGCCAGGUCUGGACCCUCACUUACAAUUACGAUGCAUACAUACAUAAACCAUACAUUAUAUAAUAUAUGAGUUGGCCUAACAAUGACCCGAAACCCUAGCUAUAUCAUAAUAUUUGAAGUAGAAGGAAACAAAUACUCAUAAUCAUAAUAAGAUAAAUUUUCGUGGCAGAAAUCGAUGAUUUAUAUCUCAGAUUGAUUAGUGAGAAUUUUAGUAAUUAAGCAAGCUCCUAAUGAUGGCUGCCUCGGCGCUGUCGUCGUCCGUUGAAGCCAAAAGUUCCGACAAACGGUCACUGAGAUCAUCAACCUCUCUGUGUAAGUUCCUGAUGUAGUUGCAAGUCUCUUGUAGCACUUUAGAUGCUGACACCUGUCCAUUCAUAUUUAUAAAAAUAAUUUUAGUUAGAGUACAAAAUAACGAUCAUUUAGAUUCUUACAAAGAGUACAUAACAACAUGUGCCACUGCUUUUUAUCAUAACAAUUUCUUCAAAAAGUUUAGCCGGUAGACAUAAUUUUCUCGUUAUUACUAGUAUUUAAUGUUCGCAACGGUAUAAACGGCCAGUAUUUAAUAAAUUCUAUUUUUCAUCUACAUAUGGAUUAUGGUGAGUUAUGGUGAGUAUUUGGUAGACAAGAGUAAUGAGGAGACAUGGAGUUAAUGUACGUGGAAGUAAGAAGGGAGCAAACUGAACCCCACACCACCAACUUGUGAAUUUAAAUGCAUAAAAAACAUUCAAGGAACAAAAGAGAUAGUGUAUAUAUGCAUAAAUGAGGCUGUGAAUUAAUGUUACUUUAUCUACGGAUAGUUAAUUGUAGACCACAUGUAUCUACACAAAACGCCAUUGGGUUUCACCAUUCGUAUUAUUUAGUUAUAUACACUAUACGGUUCAAAUUCAUUUGAACUUUCCAAGUCCAUGUGCUAACUUAAACAUAUAUCCAUACAAACAUGGAACAUAUGUUUGUUUGUAUUUGCAAGAAAGAUAGAUUUGCAUAUGGAUUUUUGAAGUGUAUAUACCUUGUCAGAACGGCGGCGUCGGAGCUCAGGGAUGAGGUGUUGGAGCUUAGUAACAAGAUCGGUAAUCUGAUCAUCAGAGAUUCUUGAGCUUCCUGACUGUCGUGAACGUGAUGAUCUUCUGCUCGACAUCUUCUUUAGUAAGUGGCUUUGUUUGUUUGUGUGUGUGUGGAGAGAGAGGAAUGCAGUAAGGAUAAGUAGUUGUUGUGUCAGAGAGAGAAAGAGAAUAAGAGUGGAGAAGACGAAGAAGAUUGUUUUGAAGAUGGAGGAGCAAAAGGGGACGUGUUUUUAUAAUGCAAAUUUAUGAGGAGAGAGAGAAGAAGAAGGAGGAAGAAGAUAGACAAGAGAGACAAGUGCAUGGAGGGAGGGUGUGGGUUAUGUUUCUUUAUAAGAGCGCCUUAAUUAGCUUUCAACUAUUAUUAUUAUUUGUUCUCAGUUUUUUCCAUCAUCGCUUAGUACAAAAAGAUACUGUUUAUUUUGGGUAAGCUUCUAAACUAACUUUCUCGCGAGGCCAACGUCUUGAUUGUUACAUGUGUGAAACUCAACCACGUCGGGGUUUUAUUAUUUUCUCUGAAAUUCUUUUAUUCUUGUUCCA